rnacentral:pre_miRNA from 1 species
ACGAAUGGCUAUGCACUGCACAACCCUAGGAGAGGGUGCCAUUCACAUAGACUAUAAUUGAAUGGCGCCACUAGGGUUGUACAGUGCACAACCUGCAC